GUAUGUGUCAUGAUGAUUAUCAGAAAUAAUAUGAAUGGGCAUGAUAACUUUGGCCAGGGUACACUCACCCCACCACUCAGUUUCCAACCUAGAUCUUAACUGUAGAUCCCCACAUAACCAGUAAAUAUCCCCCAAUGACCUGGUAUGGUGUUGCAACAGGCGUAUAGGAACAGUUCUGUAAGUGGCGCAAUAACCUUUAGAAAAG